rnacentral:rRNA from 1 species
GCCUGAUGCAGCGACGCCGCGUGAGGGAUGACGGCCUUCGGGUUGUAAACCUCUUUCAGCAGGGACGAAGCGCAAGUGACGGUACCUGUAGAAGAAGCACCGGCCAACUACGUGCCAGCAGCCGCGGUAAUACGUAGGGUGCGAGCGUUGUCCGGAAUUACUGGGCGUAAAGAGCUCGUAGGUGGUUUGUCGCGUUGUUCGUGAAAACUCACAGCUCAACUGUGGGCGUGCGGGCGAUACGGGCAGACUUGAGUACUGCAGGGGAGACUGGAAUUCCUGGUGUAGCGGUGGAAUGCGCAGAUAUCAGGAGGAACACCGGUGGCGAAGGCGGGUCUCUGGGCAGUAACUGACGCUGAGGAGCGAAAGCGUGGGGAGCGAACAGGAUUAGAUACCCUGGUAGUCCACGCCGUAAACGGUGGGUACUAGGUGUGGGUUUCCUUCCUUGGGAUCCGUGCCGUAGCUAACGCAUUAAGUACCCCGCCUGGGGAGUACGGCCGCAAGGCUAAAACUCAAAGAAAUUGACGGGGGCCCGCACAAGCGGCGGAGCAUGUGGAUUAAUUCGAUGCAACGCGAAGAACCUUACCUGGGUUUGACAUGCACAGGACGCCGGCAGAGAUGUCGGUUCCCUUGUGGCCUGU